ensembl:lncRNA
GGACAAGCCAGGGUGUUUAUACAAAAUGUCGGCCUUUUUCCAAGCUGCUAAGUCGUGUUUGACUCUUUGUGACUCCAUGGACUGCAUCUUGCCAGGCUCCUCCGUCCAUGGCAUUUCCCAGGCAAGAAUACUGGAGUGGGUUGCCAUUUCCUUCUCCAAAACUACCCAAAAGGUAUGUUUUUUUAAGCCUCAUUUUACAGAGAAUAGACAGAGUCUCAGAGACUCUCCAAAGUCACUUAACCUACUGGUUAAGUUACAGAACAAGGCUCAAGUCGAGAUUUGUCUGAUCCAAAACCCACACUGGUCCCUGCUCUUCGGUGCAGGCUCAGAUACCCGGGGACUGCCCCAGCAAUAAACGCUGAUCCAUCUUGUUCUCCCAGACCUGCCCAAGCACACAGUAUCUAAAUAAAGAGGAUGAAGCCACAGUCUAACACAAUGCAAAUAUAGCCUCAUCUGGGAAAGACAUGAACUUCAGCUUUGAUUUGCUGAGUCAUCUUGGUUAAGACCCUCCUUCACAUUCUUUCUCUGUUAACAGGAAAUGACAAUAUCAGGGCUGUCUUAAUGGCCAUUAGCCCCAGAUUUCUUGCCAUCAGGGCUUGUCAUCACAAGGACACCCCACUGACCAGAAAAGCGAGCCUUUCUUCCCUUACUUUGUCUAAUAUCCUAGAAUGCAAGAUGUCAACUGCUAUGCCAGUUAUUACCUAAUUGACAAUAGUGGAUAAUAUUUUUUUAUAUUGCAGCCCCAAAGGCAGACAGCAAAAUUCAAUGUCGGCAUGAGCAGUGGUGUUUUUUGAAAUAUUCAGGCACAACAUAUUUCCCAACAAAUAGUUCAGUUGUUUUUGCUAGCUUUGUGUUGUCUUCCAAACAUACCACAGGCAUUAAUCCAUAUUAUGGAAUGGAGCUAAGUUAUUUUCAAAUUAUAAAACUGAAAAGUGCCUGAAACCAGAAAACUUAUUUUUUUUCGG